rnacentral:rRNA from 1 species
CACGUGGAUAACUUACCCUUAGGUGGAGGAUACACUCGGGAAACUGAGAAUAAUACUCCAUAGAUCUAGGAUGCUGGAAUGCAUCUAGAUUGAAAGUUGCGGCGCCUAAGGAUAGGUCUGCGGACUAUCAGGUUGUAGUCAGGGUAAUGACCUGACUAGCCUACGACGGAUAUGGGUUGUGAGAGCAAUAGCCCAGAGACGAUAUCUGAGACACGAUAUCGGGCCCUACGGGGCGCAGCAGGCGCGAAAUCUUCACAAUGUGCGAAAGCACGAUGAGGGAAUCCCAAGUGCUAGCACGUAAGUGUUAGCUGUUUCUUAGUCUAAAAAACUGAGAGAGUAAGAGCUGGGUAAGACGGGUGCCAGCCGCCGCGGUAAUACCUGCAGCUCGAGUGGUGGCCGCUAUUAUUGGGCCUAAAACGUCCGUAGCCUGUUUAGUAAAUGCCUGGGUAAAUUGUAUAGCUUAACUAUACAAAUACUGGGUAGACUGCUAAACUUGGGACCGGGAGAGGCUAGAGGUACUCCUGGGGUAGAGGUGAAAUUCUGUAAUCCUAGGGGGACCACCAGUGGCGAAGGCGUCUAGCUAGAACG